UUCAAUCCAAUCUAAACCUAAUUUGUCAUUAUAAAUAACACCCUUCACUGAUGAGAGAGGAGGACGAAAUUCAGAUCAAAAAAUCACCAAACAACAACACAUUUCUCUCAUUUUUUCACCCUUUUCUUUGAUUUUUCAAAACCCAUUCAAACCACCUUCAAACUUGAAUUUCUUCAAUCCACUAGCUUCUAACAACUUCCAGUAGCACAAAACAAUCAUAAAACACAAGCUCUAACCCAUAAUUCGCGUGAACCAAAUGCUCAAAAAAAUCAUCCAAAAAAAGAUUGAAACGGUUCUGGAGUUCUAGGCCACUAUUUCACGUGAUUUUUGUCGCUCUAUGCUCCUGGAGACGUUCUAAAGCUUUCCCACAGACCCAAUCAACCCAGUUCGCAUUNNNNNNNNNNNNNNNAACUUUCGGGCACUUUUGGAAGAAAAUAAGGGUAGAUUCGUGAUCUACGAAGAAUUCCGAGCAAUUUGGUAUAUUUGGUUGCAAUUUUCAGUCACUAUUUGAAUCGCCGGCGAAAGGACCACCGUGCCGGAAUCGGCCUGCUCGCCGGAGAAGAAGGUGUUUCCGGUUCUGUUUUUUUUUAUUUUCUUUUGUUUCCAGUUUAAAUUUAAGCCAUCUGAUUGAUCAAACGGACCAGAUCUGUCCUAAUUUUUUUUAAAUAUUAUCCAUUUGAUCAAUCAGAUGACCCAGAUAUAAGAUUGUUACUGUGUACCCUAUUUAGCUACUGCAUUGGAUUAUUUUUGUUUGACUGUGAAUUUUUGUUUGACUUCGCUGAUGGGCCUUCGGCUUGGACUAGGCUGACUGUUAUUUGCACCCCGUUUCUAAUACGUUUUAAUAUUUGCACCCCCUGCUGCAACUUAAUUUUAAUUUGUUU
rnacentral:lncRNA from 1 species